AUUACAGUAGUCACCCAGGUUGCCGCAAGGCCUCCUGGGUAACCUACCACCCUUUGUUUAUUACACUUUGUUGCUUUGGCAAGCCUGCCCUCGGGCUGCUGGCUCCGGCCGGCGAGCGCUUGCCAGAGGACCUAAACUCUGUUUGUCUAUACUGUCUGAGUACUAUAUAAUAGUUAAAACUUUCAACAACGGAUCUCUUGGUUCUGGCAUCGAUGAAGAACGCAGCGAAAUGCGAUAAGUAAUGUGAAUUGCAGAAUUCAGUGAAUCAUCGAAUCUUUGAACGCACAUUGCGCCCCCUGGUAUUCCGGGGGGCAUGCCUGUCCGAGCGUCAUUACAACCCUCAAGCUCAGCUUGGUAUUGGGCCCCGCCGACCCGGCGGGCCCUAAAGUCAGUGGCGGUGCCGUCCGGCUCCGAGCGUAGUAAUUCUUCUCGCUCUGGAGGUCCGGUCGUGUGCUCGCCAGCAACCCCCAAUUUUUUUCAGGUUGACCUCGGAUCAGGUAGGGAUACCCGCUGAACUUAAGCAUAUCAAUAAGCGGAGGAAAAGAAACCAACAGGGAUUACCUCAGUAACGGCGAGUGAAGCGGUAACAGCUCAAAUUUGAAAUCUGGCCUCACGGUCCGAGUUGUAAUUUGUAGAGGAUGCUUCGAGCAUGGUCUGGCCUAAGUUCCUUGGAACAGGACGUCAUAGAGGGUGAGAAUCCCGUAUGCGGCCAGGUGCCUACGCUCAUGUGAAGCUCCUUCGACGAGUCGAGUUGUUUGGGAAUGCAGCUCAAAAUGGGUGGUAAAUUUCAUCUAAAGCUAAAUAUUGGCCAGAGACCGAUAGCGCACAAGUAGAGUGAUCGAAAGAUGAAAAGCACUUUGGAAAGAGAGUUAAACAGUACGUGAAAUUGUUGAAAGGGAAGCGCUUGCAACCAGACUUGCGCGCGGCCGAUCAUCCGGUGUUCUCACCGGUGCACUCGGCCGUGCUCAGGCCAGCAUCGGUUUUGGCGGCUGGAUAAAGGCCCUAGGAAUGUGGCUCCUCUCGGGGAGUGUUAUAGCCUAGGGUGCAAUGCAGCCUGCUGGGACCGAGGACCGCGCUCGGCUAGG
rnacentral:rRNA from 1 species